rnacentral:rRNA from 1 species
UACGAAGGGGGCUAGCGUUGCUCGGAAUCACUGGGCGUAAAGGGUGCGUAGGCGGGUCUUUUAAGUCAGGGGUGAAAUCCUGGAGCUCAACUCCAGAACUGCCUUUGAUACUGAGGAUCUUGAGUUCGGGAGAGGUGAGUGGAACUGCGAGUGUAGAGGUGAAAUUCGUAGAUAUUCGCAAGAACACCAGUGGCGAAGGCGGCUCACUGGCCCGAUACUGACGCUGAGACACUAAAGCAUGGGUAUCAAACAGG